rnacentral:rRNA from 1 species
GACGAACGCUGGCGGCGUGCUUAACACAUGCAAGUCGAACGGAAAGACCCUGCUUUUGUGGGGUGCUCGAGUGGCGAACGGGUGAGUAACACGUGAGUAACCUGCCCUUGACUUUGGGAUAACUUCGGGAAACUGGGGCUAAUACCGGAUAGGAGCUCCUGCUGCAUGGUGGGGGUUGGAAAGUUUCGGCGGUUGGGGAUGGACUCGCGGCUUAUCAGCUUGUUGGUGGGGUAGUGGCUUACCAAGGCUUUGACGGGUAGCCGGCCUGAGAGGGUGACCGGCCACAUUGGGACUGAGAUACGGCCCAGACUCCUACGGGAGGCAGCAGUGGAGAAUAUUGCACAAUGGGCGGAAGCCUGAUGCAGCAACGCCGCGUGCGGGAUGACGGCCUUCGGGUUGUAAACCGCUUUCGCCUGUGACGAAGCGUGAGUGACGGUAAUGGGUAAAGAAGCACCGGCUAACUACGUG